CAACGGAUCUCUUGGUUCUGGCAUCGAUGAAGAACGCAGCAAAAUGCGAUAAGUAAUGUGAAUUGCAGAAUUCAGUGAAUCAUCGAAUCUUUGAACGCACAUUGCGCCCGCCAGUAUUCUGGCGGGCAUGCCUGUUCGAGCGUCACUUCAACCCUCA
rnacentral:rRNA from 1 species